UGAUAUUGACGGUACGAGGGAUGGUCUUUUAAGGAAUUCUUUGGGUGGUUUCCUGCAAUGGACAGUCAGAGAUCGAUCUACGUCUAAGUGAAUAUCUCGUCCGAGAUGCCUAUGGUUUUCUGUUCCUCUUCGAUUUGCAUUGCGGUCUCUCUUUCUCGCUGUUUCUUCUUUCGGGGCCCUAAAUUCGCGAAGUCAUUUGUUACUGCAAACGAUUAGCUAAAUAUUCCUGUGUUUCUUGUGCUCUCUAGGUGUACGUGCCGACUAAUAGUUUCUAAUAGUUUUCAAAAAUAAUUUGAAAUUCCCAAAAGUGCAAAUAGCUUGCAAAAUCUUCUAUCUAAAUUUUUAUAAAAAUUUAAUGUUGCC
rnacentral:lncRNA from 1 species